ensembl:lincRNA Gm26707 predicted gene, 26707
UCUGUCUCUGGCCCGCUGUCGCCAGAAGUCUCACACCAUCGCGCGAAUGUAUCUCCCAGGUUACCAAGGUUUUCCCUGGGUUCAGAGGGCGGAGGCAGUACCUUGGGCCCUAGGUGGGGCAUAGUAAGCAAACAAGAGGAACCUGGGAGCGGGAGACCUUGACUGGCUGCAGCAGCCACACCUCGCGCGCCUGUGACCCCGCCUGGCUUCCCCAGCUCCUGCCUCCCUCUGCUUAUCUUGGUGUGCGUGCGUGCGUGCAUGUGAGGUGUCUUGGAGGCACUUUCCUCCCGCAUCCUACCUCUGCCAACUAGGAGGGACUUGACAUUCUGUUGUCCCUAGAUUACAAGGCUCCGUGACAUUGCUAUCCGACUUAGGUCAGUGUGUAUUGGUUGACUCAUUCUUUUGUUUUGUUUUGAAACGGGGUCGCAGGUAGCUAGAGCUGGCCUGAAACUCUCUGGGUAGUUUAAGUAUGACCUUGAGUUUCUUAAUCCUCCUGCCUCCACUGCUCACUAGUGGGAUUAAAGGACUUGUUCUUUAAAUUAAAAACAAAAAGUGUUUUUGUUUUUUUGUUUUUUUUUAGCGUGUAUCUGUACAUUCGUGUUAUAUUCGUGUAUAUUCUGUGCGUGGGUUCAGAUGUGUAUGCGGGUACUCCUGCUUGUACGUUGGCAGGCAGGUAGAGUUGACAUCCUGCAUUCCUCCAUAUUUAUCUAGGCAGGUUCUAUCUGGAAUCCCUCCUCUAGCUGAAGGGUUUGCCCCAAGGCUCCCUGUCUUCCUUACGAGGAAUCUGGAGCUAUACAUUUCAGUCCUCAUAUGGUCGUGCUUAUCCACUGGGCCGUCUCCUAGCCCUAAUUUAUUUUUUAUUAGGAUAUGUUAAUUAUACACCCCAUCCACACACACACAUAUAUUUUUUUUCAUUCUGGCAUUUUCAUGCACUCACAACAUGUUUUUCACAUUCAUUUUCACAACAUUCAAUCAGUUUCAUAUCUCUGAGGCCUUCGCUCUUCCUACUUAAUUAGUUAGUUAACGAAUUUUGAUGACCAGAUGAGUUUCAUUAGGGUUGCUUACAGAGUCUCAGUUGAGAGACUGUUCACGGGAGCACGAAGUCCUUAUCCUGAGGCCACACCUCUCUCUCUUGUCUCUCUCACUCUCAAAAUCUUUUUUUUAUUAAGCAGAAGAGGACACUAGAUGCCAUUACAGAUGGCCGUGGGCCACCAUGUGGUUGCUGGGAAUUGAACUCAGGACCUCUGUAAGAGCAGUCAGUGCAAACUGCUGAGCCAUCUUGACAGCCCAGUUCCAUUCUUUGAUUCACUUAGAGCAGUGGUUCUCAACCUUUCUAAUGCUACAAUCCAUUAAUACAUCUCCUCAUGUUGUGGUGACACCCCACCCCACCACCAUAAAGUUAUUUCGUUGCUACCUCAUAAGUGUAACUUCACUAAUCUAGGAAUCGUAAUGUAAGUAUCUGAUAUGUGACCCUAAGGGGGUCGGGACCCACGUAUUGAGAAUCACUGACUUAGAGGUGUCUCGUAUACUUAUCAAUGGCCACCAGACUCCUUGAAUUCAGAACUCUUUGCUGAGCCUGCAGUAAGGCCUCUGCUAGGACUUAGCAGCUACAUAUCUGAAUACAAUCUGAAAUGGGGUAUUUAACAGGUACUAAGUUUUUACAGUGUUAGGGAUCAAAUCCCUGGUCUUUUUUAAAAAAAUAUUUUCCGAUUUAUUUAUUUAUUUAUUUUAUGUAUAUGAGUACACUAUACACUGUACACUGUAGCUGUCUUCAGACACACCAGAGGAGGGUAUUAGUUCUCAUUACAGAUGGUUGUGAGGCACCAUGUGGUUGCUGGGAAUUGAACUCAGGACCUCUGGAAGAGCAGUCAGUGAGUGCUCUUAACCGCUGAGCCAUCUCUCCAGACCCCAGAUCCCUGGUCUUAGAGCUAUUGCAAGCUCUGCCUCUGACUUAACAACCCCAGGCCCUCUCUGUUAGAGAGCACUCACUAGAAACAAGACUUGUUUCUUUUUUUUUCUGAAGAUUCAGCUGUGAGCAAACUAGAGGAGUUCUGGGCUCUUCAUAUCCACAUGCAAAUGCAGGUGAGGUCAGGGAAUCGGGAAUCACAAAGGCCUGAGAGGGAUAAGGCAGCAUCAGAGGAUACUUCCGGUUUGGCUCGUUGCAGCAUCCCUAGCAUUGCCCUGCCUGGCACCUAUCAAGGUACCAUCUUGAUCUGCUAUAUCAAGGAUUGAGUUGAAGGGAAGCACUAUGAACCCAUGUUCACCGAAGAAACCAUAUCUGGGUUGCUGAUGGCUGAACUACAACUUCAGGCUGUGAAGAGACAUCUGAAUGUUGCAUAGCAUGAGUCGGAAUUACAUGGGGCUAUCUCUAGUUCCCUUUAGCAGUCAUCUGCUAGUUCUGUCUGAGUUUACAUCUUUGCGACUCCUAGGUGCAGCUUUUGGAAUGCACUGCAGAACUUGCUAGACCACUGGUGCCCACCGACCCGACACUCUGCCUUUGUUGGGCCCCCAUCCCCCAUAUGUUUGGUAAAUGUGGUGAUUUAUGGCUUCUUUUGUUUUGUGACUAUAAAAAGUUCAAGUCACCUCCUUCACAGUGGAACAGGACAUUAGGGACAGCCCAAAUCCCUGCUCCCAGACACAGGUACUCUCAGUUGGCCCAGGAAAAGUGACUUUCAUUCCCUUUGGACCAACAACUGUGAUGUGGGACCUCAGAGAUGAUCAUCUGAGGAGUCAUCAGGAUUGGAACCAGGUGCCAGCACCAGCCGUCUCCAUCCGUGUUGUAUCUCAGAGUAGAUAAUGGUGAGUCCUUCCAGGAGCCCGUACCCCCACCCGCCUUUUGUUGUGGUUGGUGGCUUGUUGGUUUAUUCUAAACUGGUUGUUGUGUUGGACAUCCUAUUAUUGUUUCAAUACAUUCUUUUGGGACAUCUGUUGCUAGCACUCGACUUUUCUUUUCUUUUCUUUUCUUUUCUUUUCUUUUCUUUUCUUUUCUUUUCUUUUCUUUUCUUUUCUUUUCUUUUCUNNNNNNNNNNNNNNNNNNNNNNNNNNCCCUGGCUGUCCUGGAACUCACUCUGUAGACCAGGCUGGCCUCGAACUCAGAAAUCCGCCUGCCUCUGCCUCCCAAGUGCUGAGCACUCUACUUUUCUAACUUUACUUUCCUGUUUCUUGUUCAUCUUCAUUGAAACUUUGCCCUGUUUAGUUUGGAAAUUCUGAGUGCUGGUUGUAAAGAUGCCUGAGAUAAGAGUUUCUUCUAACCCAGCAGGUGGGGGUAUCAGAAGGAACUCUGACAUGUAGUCGCCUCCUACUGAGGCUUUGGGCUGGCAAAAUGGCUCAGCAGGUAAAGUCUGACCACCUGAGUUCAAUCCUGGGGAUGCACAAGAGUAAACUGACUCCUGCCAUUUAAUCUCUGACCUCCACACAAAUGGUGUGGCAUGUGUAUGUCCUAUCUCCCAAUACAAAUAAAUGUAAAAAAACCCAAAACAUACAAACAAAAAACACCUGAACCAAAACCUGACUUCCUGGGUCAGAAAGUUCCUUUUUUGGCUCACUUACUGUAGUGGCUAUUCCUGGUUGUCAACUUGACAAUAUUUGGAAUGAACUACAAUCUGGAAUUGGAAGGCUCACCAGUGACCCUUAUCUUGAGGCUUAUCAGAUUCUUAUCUGGAUCUUGGUAAGGAGAUCUUGAGCCNNNNNNNNNNNNNNNNNNNNNNNNNNNNNNNNAUCU